GCCCUGUCACCUGCCCACGCUGGGGAAGUGUUAAUUAAUGGUUAAUGAGCUGCUGGGGAGCAGGAAAUCCCGCGGGCCUGGCUGUGGCCUGGGAAGCCAAAGGGCCCACGUGUGGCCCUGGAUCAGUGAUCCCACUGCCCAGGGGUCCUGGAGAAGGGGGUGGCCCCCAGUGCUCACAGGGGGAAUCGCUGGGAAACCCCCUAAUUAGUAAUUAAUGAGUUAUUUCUUGGGAAGCAGAAGAUCCUGAGGGACCCUCUUGGCCUGGAGCUGUCCCUGUGCACUGAUCCCGAUGCCUUGGGGGACUGGAUAUGGGGCGUGGUCCCCAGGACUGAGAGGGAACAAUCACUGGGAAUGCCCUAUUAGUUACUAAUUAUUAAUUAUUAAUUACCAAUUACUAGUACUGGUAGGGAACAAUCACUGGGAAUGCCCUAUUAGUUACUAAUUACUAAUUACUAGUACUGAUAGGGAACAAUCACUGGGAAUGCCCCAUUAAUUACAAAUUACUGAGUUACUGGGGACACUCACUGAGAAAACCCGAUUAAUUACUAAUUACUGAGUUAUUGGGGACAUUCACUGAGAAAGCCCUGUUAAUUCCUAAUUACUGAGCUAUUGGGGUCAAUCAUGGGAAAGCCCUAUUAAUUAAUAAUUAAUGAGUUUUUGGGGACAAUCAUUAGGAAAGCCCUAUUAAUUAAUAAUUAAUGAGGUUUUGGGGACAAUCAUUAGGAAAGCCCUAUUAAUUAAUAAUUAAUGAGGUUUUGGGGACAAUCACUGGGAAAGCCCUAUUAAUUAGUAAUUAAUGAGUUUUUGGGGACAAUCCAUGGGAAAGCCCUAUUAAUUAAUAAUUAAUGAGGUUUUGGGGACAAUCAUUGGGAAAGCCCUAUUAUUUACUAAUUACUGAGUUAUUGGGGUCAGUCACUGGAAAAACUGUAUUAAUUAUUAAUUAAUGAGUUAUUUGGGCAUUCAGUGGGAAAGCCCUCUUAAUUCGUAAUUAAUGAGUUUCUGGGGUCAAUCAGUAGGAAAACCCUAUUAAUUACUAAUUAAUGAGUUAUUCUGGCAAUCCAUGGGAACGCCCCAUUAAUUCUUGAGUUACUGGGGACAAUGACUAGGAAAGCCCUAUUAGUAAUUAAUGAGUUUUUGGGGUCAAUCAGUGGGAAAGUCCUGUUAAUUCCUAAUUACUGGGUUAUUGGGGGCAAUCAUUAGGAAAGCCUUAUUAAUUCCUAAUUACUGAGUUAUUUGGGAUAAUCACUGGAUCAAUUAAUCGAUAAUUAAUAUUAAUUAGUAAUUAAUGAGUUAUUAGGGACACUCACUGGGAAAGCCCUAUUAAUUAUUAAUUAGCGAGUUAUUGGGAGCAAUCCCUGGGAAAACUCUGUCAGUUCCUAAUUAAUGAGUUACUGGGGACAAUGACUAGGAAAGACCUGUUAAUUUCCAAUUAAUGAGUUAAUGGGAGCAAUGACAGGGAAAAACCCUAGUAAUUCCUGAUUAAUGAAUUAUUGGGGGCAAUCAGUGGGAAAGCCUUGUUAAAUCCUAAUUACUGAGCUACUGGGGACAGUCAGUGGGAAAGCCCUCUUAAUUAGUAAUUAGUGAGUUAUUGGGGAUAAUCACUGGGAAAGCCUUAUUAAUUAUUAAUUACUGAGUUAUUGGGGACAAUCAGUGGGAAAGCCCUUUUAAUUAGUAAUUAAUGAGUUUUUGGGGACAAUCAUUUGGAAAGCCCUAUUAAUUACUAAUUAAUGAGUUAUUGGGGACAAUCACUAGGAAAGCCCUAUUAAUUAAUAAUUGCUGAGAUAUUGGGGUCAGUCACUUGAAAAGACUUAUUAAUUCCUAAUUAAUGAGUUUCUGGGGUCAAUCAGUGGGAAAGUCCUGUUAAUUCCUAGUUAAUGAGUUAUUGAGGGCAAUCAUUAGGAAAGCCUUAUUUAUUAAUAAUUACUGAGUUAUUGGGGACAAUCAGUGGGAAAGCCCUGUUAAUUAGUAAUUAAUGAGUUAUUGUGGUCAGUCACUGGGAAACCCCUAUUAAUUCCUAAUUAGUGAGUUGUUGAAGUGAGUCACUGGAAAAACCCUAUUAAUUCCUAAUUACUGAGAUAUUGGGGAUAAUCACUGAUCAAUUAAUUAAUAAAUAAUUAAUAGUUAAUUAAUUAAUAAUUAAUAAAUAAUUGUUAAUUAGUAAUUACUGAGUUAUUGGGGACAUUCACUGGGAAAGCCCUAUUAAUUAGUAAUUAAUGAGUUAUUGGGGAUAAUCACUAGAUCAAUUAAUCGAUAAUUAAUUAAUAAAUAUUAAUUAGUAAUUAAUGAGUUACUGGGGACAAUGACUAGGAAAGACCUGUUAAUUCCUAAUUAAUGAGUUAUUGGGGGCAAUCAGUGGGAAAACCCUAUUAAUUCCUAAUAAUGAGUUAUUGGGGGCAAUCAGUGGGAAAGCCCUGUCAAUUCCUAAUUACUGAGUUAUUGGGGACAAUCACUGGGAAAACCAUAUAAGUAGUAAUUAAUGAGUUUUUGUGGUCAAUCAGUGAGAAAGCCCUAUUACUAAUUAAUGAGUUAUUGGGAAUAAUCCCUGGGAAUGCCCUAUUAAUUAUUAAUUACUGAGUUAUUGGGGACAAUCAGUGGGAAAGCCCUAUUAAUAAUUAAUUACUGAGUUUUUGGGGACAAUCAAUGGGAAAGCCCUACUAAUUACUAAUUAAUGAGUUUUUGUGGCAAUCCAUGGGAAAGCCCUAUUAAUUCCUAAUUACUGAGUUAUUGUGGUCAGUCACUGGGAAACCCCUAUUAAUUCCUAAUUACUGAGUUGUAAGGUGAGUCAUUGGAAAAACCCUAUUAAUUCCUAAUUACUGAGUUAUUGGGGACAUUCACUGGGAAAGCCUUAUUAAUUACUAAUUAGUGAGUUAUUGAGGAUAAUCACUGGAAAAGCCCUAUUAAUUCCUAAUUCAUGAGUUAUUGGGGAUAAUCACUGGAUCAAUUACUUAGUAAUUAAAUAAUAAUUAAUUAAUAAUUGUUAAUUAGUAAUGAAUGAGUUAUUGGGGACAGUCACUGGGAAUACCCUAUUAAUUCCUAAUUAGUGAGUUAUUGAGGAUAAUCACUGGCAAAGCCCUAUUAAUUGAUAAUUACUGAGUUAUUGGGGACAAUCAUUGGGAAAGCCCUAUGAAUUGAUAAUUAGUGAGUUAUUGGGUGCAAUUACUGGGAAAUCCCUGUUAAUUACUCAUAACCGAGUGUGACCCUGCCCAGAGUGACCCUGCCCAGAGUGACCCUGCCCGGUGUGACCCUGCCCAGAGUGACCCUGCCCGCUGUGACCCUGCCCAGAGUGACCCUCCCUGGUGUGACCCUGCCCAGAGUGACCCUGCCCAGAGUGACCCUCCCUGGUGUGACCCUGUCCAGAGUGACCCUGCCCAGAGUGACCCUGCCCGAGUGACCCUGCCCAGAGUGACCCUGUCCAGAGUGACCCUGCCCAGAGUGACCCUGCCCAGAGUGACCCUGCUCCCCGGGGUCCUGGGGGUGUCCCGGGGGUGCCCCCGUGUCCCAGCCCAGCCCUGCCCUCCCUGCCCAGAGUGACCCUGCCCAGAGUGACCCUGCCCGCUUGACCCUGCCCAGAGUGACCCUGCCCGGUGUGACCCUGCCCAGAGUGACCCUGUCCAGUGUGACCCUGCCCGCUGUGACCCUGCUCCCUGGGGUCCUGGGGGUGCCCCCGUGUCCCAGCCCUGCCCUGCC